GUCCCUACGGGACGCAGCAGUGAGGAAUAUUGGUCAAUGGGCGGAAGCCUGAACCAGCCAAGUCGCGUGAGGGAAUAAGGCCCUACGGGUCGUAAACCUCUUUUGCCGGGGAGCAAGGGCCGGGACGAGUCCCGGUCCGGAGAGUACCCGGAGAAAAAGCAUCGGCUAACUCCGUGCCAGCAGCCGCGGUAAUACGGAGGAUGCGAGCGUUAUCCGUAUUUAUUGGGUUUAAAGGGUGCGUAGGCGGGCUUUUAAUUCAGCGUGAAAAAUUCGGGGCUCAACCCCGUCCGGCCGUUGAAACUGGG
rnacentral:rRNA from 1 species